AUUGAACGCUGGCGGCAGGCUUAACACAUGCAAGUCGAGCGGAGAUGAGGUGCUUGCACCUUAUCUUAGCGGCGGACGGGUGAGUAAUGCUUAGGAAUCUGCCUAUUAGUGGGGGACAACAUUCCGAAAGGAAUGCUAAUACCGCAUACGCCCUACGGGAGAAAGCAGGGGAUCUUCGGACCUUGCGCUAAUAGAUGAGCCUAAGUCGGAUUAGCUAGUUGGUGGGGUAAAGGCCUACCAAGGCGACGAUCUGUAGCGGGUCUGAGAGGAUGAUCCGCCACACUGGGACUGAGGCACGGCCCAGACUCCUACGGGAGGCAGCAGUGGGGAAUAUUGGACAAUGGGGGGAACCCUGAUCCAGCCAUGCCGCGUGUGUGAAGAAGGCCUUAUGGUUGUAAAGCACUUUAAGCGAGGAGGAGGCUACUGAGACUAAUACUCUUGGAUAGUGGACGUUACUCGCAGAAUAAGCACCGGCUAACUCUGUGCCAGCCGCCGCGGUAA
rnacentral:rRNA from 1 species